rnacentral:lncRNA from 1 species
CUAUAAAACCAAACAGGUAAAAAGUUGAAGAGCAUUGAGAACCCAAAAUUCCAAAUAGUUGUGCCAAAUACGGCUAAGGUAAUCUAUUCCUGGAAUAAAAAAAUCCUUAGUUUUUCCAAAAAAAUAAAAAUUUUGUAACAGAAAAUUUACAAAAAUGACCAUAUAAUUGAUAUUCAUAUCAACACCGAAGUGCUGACUACUGGGCUGGUGAUACCCUCGGGGACGUUACGUCCACCAGCAGUGGCAUCGACCCAGUCGUGUAAAUUGUUAUCAAAUGUAACAGGAUUAUAAUUUAAUACGCCAGAUAAUAAGUGUUUGUUCACGAUCUAGAAGUCAAAACUUAAAUGAAUGGUAACUUCUAUGGACUGGUACUUUCUUUAUAAAAUUACAAUAAUACAUAACGUAGUGUCAAGGAAUGAUCAAAUACUAACUGGUCUUUCUAUUAUUGUUUACGAUCCUGAAUGAUAUGAUAUAGUUACGAUAAAUACGUUUUUGUCAAGCGCCCAAUGAUAACUAUUUUCUGUUUUCAAUGACGUCAUAUAAAAAUGUAGGCGAUUAGGCUACGAAUGCGAAUUUCAAUGUUUAUAUUUAAUAUAUCACUUGUUUUUUUUAAAUAAAGACAAGCUUUCACAAUUUUAUGGAUUUAUAACGGCAAGCAUCAUCACAUCGUUAAGCAUUAUUUAGUGUCACAUUAAAACUCAUGCUUACCGCAUCUGGCUGUCAAGUUGAUCAGAACUGAAAAAUAAUAAAUCUUCUAGUCAACUAAUCUGAAUAGGUGCAGUAUGUAACAAUGAACUAUGCGAUAGUAUUUAAAGUUCAUCAUCGUCAUAGUCAUCAUCGUCUUCAUCAGCGUCAUCAUCAGCGUCACCAUCAUAUUCGUCGUCAUGUACUUUGCUGUAUAUAACCAAAACUAUAUAUAACUAUAGCUUGCAAGUUCAUAAGGUUAAAGUUUUCACAAUAUCCAGACCUUUGAUUUUUAUAAAUAAUCUAUAUGUAACGAUAUAGAAAAUUUACAUUGAAAGAUGGAACCAUCAAGCCUGCUCCG